rnacentral:rRNA from 1 species
AGUGAACGCUGGCGGUAGGCCUAACACAUGCAAGUCGAACGGCAGCACGGUAAGAGCUUGCUCUUAUGGGUGGCGAGUGGCGGACGGGUGAGGAAUACAUCGGAAUCUACCUUUUGGUGGGGGAUAACGUAGGGAAACUUACGCUAAUACCGCAUACGCCCUUCGGGGGAAAGCCGGGGACCAGCAAUGGCCUGGCGCUGAUAGAUGAGCCGAUGUCGGAUUAGCUAGUUGGUGAGGUAAUGGCUCACCAAGGCGACGAUCCGUAGCUGGUCUGAGAGGAUGAUCAGCCACACUGGAACUGAGACACGGGUCCAGACUCCUA